AAAACCCCAGAAAAUUAUUCUCACCUUAUUUAUUUAUUUUUUUCAAAAUUUUUAAUUUGGCUAAAAACGUUUUCUCUCUUUCUUUUGCAGCGUCUCUUUCUCUCUUUCGGUGCCGCCUCUCGCGCUCAAGGAGGAGGAAGACGAAGCAGUUGUGGCUCGUGCCCUAGGAGGAGGAGAAAGACGAUGCUCUUUCGAUGAAAUUAGUUCCCUACUUUAGCAAGAGAAUUUCAGAAUUCAGAUGCGUUUCAAGAAGCUAGAGCCAGCUACUUGGUUCAGUCUCCCACCACUCUCUAAUGCUGUCAAAUCUUGGUUUCCCUCCAUGUUUUCGAUUCUCUUAGAUAGACCAAACCAUGGUGAAUUCAGUGAUGGAUGGAUACCUAGUUCGCUAAUAGAGUGCAGCACCAAGUAAAGCAAAUGGCCCACAAUUUUUUUUCCUAGUUUGAGCUGCUAGUGAUGCAAUGGAUGGCAAGGACCCAUAUGCUACUCUCUCUCUGGGAAACUGGAACUACUUUGCAGCAAUUCGCAAUGAAAAGAGAAAUCCCAAGCUAGAGGCUACUCAUUUGGAAAAGGACAAGGAACUUUAUACUAGAGUUCUAAUUCAACAUUCUUCUAAUUUAUAUGCUGCCAAUGGUGCUGCAGUAGUGUUAGCAGAAAAAGGUCAUUUUGAUGUGUCAUAAGAUAUCUUUACACAGGUUCAAGAAGCUGCCAGUGGUAGUGUUUUUGUCCAGAUGCCUGAUGUUUGGAUAAACCUGGCCCAUGUUUAUUUUGCUCAGGGGAAUUUUGCUUUGGCUGUAAAAAUGGUGAACUUAUCCUAUCUUUAGAUUGUACCCGUUUUUUUGUUUUCAAAUUCCUACUCCCCAAGUCUUUAUGACAACAAUCGAGUGCUGAUGACCUUUUAUAUCAUGUGCAGUACCAAAACUGCUUGCGGAAGUUUUAUCAGGGUCUUUAAAUUUUUGAAUCAUAUACUUUUGGCUUACCGGGUCUUUAUCAUAAUUCGGUUUUUUAA